ensembl:misc_RNA Metazoa_SRP Metazoan signal recognition particle RNA
GCUGGGCAUGGUGGUGCAUGCCUGUGAUCCCAGCUACUCGGGAGGCUGAGGCAGGAGAGUCACUUGAACCCAGGAGGCAGAAGUUGCAGUGAGCCGAGAUAGCGCCACUGCACUCUAGCCUGGGUGACAGAGUGAGACUCUGUCUCAA